AGUGAACGCUGGCGGUAGGCCUAACACAUGCAAGUCGAACGGCAGCACAGUAAGAGCUUGCUCUUACGGGUGGCGGGUGGCGGACGGGUGAGGAAUACAUCGGAAUCUACUUUUUCGUGGGGGAUAACGUAGGGAAACUUACGCUAGUACCGCAUACGACCUACGGGUGAAAGCAGGGGAUCUUCGGACCUUGCGCGAAUGAAUGCGCCGAUGUCGGAUUGGCUAGUUGGCGGGGUAAAGGCCCACCAAGGCGACGAUCCGUAGCCGGUCUGAGAGGAUGGUCAGCCACACUGGAACUGAGACACGGUCCAGACUCCUACGGGAGGCAGCAGUGGGGAAUAUUGGACAAUGGGCGCAAGCCUGAUCCAGCCAUACCGCGUGGGUGAAGAAGGCCUUCGGGUUGUAAAGCCCUUUUGUUGGGAAAGAAAAGCAGCAGGUUGAUACCCCGCUGUUCUGACGGUACCCAAAGAAUAAGCACCGGCUAACUUCGUG
rnacentral:rRNA from 1 species